rnacentral:rRNA from 1 species
CCUACGGGAGGCAGCAGUGGGGAAUUUUGGACAAUGGGGGCAACCCUGAUCCAGCAAUGCCCGCGUGCGCGAAGAAGGCCUUCGGGUUGUAAAGCACUUUUGUCAGGGAAGAAAUCUUUUGGGCGAAUACCCCGGAAGGAUGACGGUACCUGAAGAAUAAGCACUGGCUAACUACGUGCCAGCAGCCGCGGUAAUACGUAGGGUGCAAGCGUUAAUCGGAAUUACUGGGCGUAAAGCGUGCGCAGGCGGUUCGCUAAGACAGUCGUGAAAUCCCCGGGCUUAACCUGGGAACUGCGAUUGAGACUGGCGAGCUAGAGUACGGCAGAGGGGGGUGGAAUUCCUGGUGUAGCAGUGAAAUGCGUAGAGAUCAGGAGGAACACCGAUGGCGAAGGCAGCCCCCUGGGCUAGUACUGACGCUCAUGCACGAAAGCGUGGGGAGCAAACAGGAUUAGAUACCCUGGUAGUCCACGCCCUAAACGAUGUCGAUUAGUUGUUGGUUCUUCAUUGAAUCAGUAACGAAGCUAACGCGUGAAAUCGACCGCCUGGGGAGUACGGUCGCAAGAUUAAAACUCAAAUGAAUUGACGG